UACGUAGGGGGCAGGCGUUAAUCGGAAUUACUGGGCGUAAAGCGUGCGCAGGCGGUCUGCUAAGACAGGUGUGAAAUCCCCGGGCUUAACCUGGGAACUGCGCUUGUUACUGGCAGGCUGGAGUGUGGGAGAGGGGGGGGGAAUUCCACGUGUAGCAGUGAAAUGCGUAGAGAUGUGGAGGAACACCGAUGGCGAAGGCAGCCCCCUGGGCUAACACUGACGCUCAUGCACGAAAGCGGGGGGAGCAAACAGG
rnacentral:rRNA from 1 species